UGGGGAAUCUUCCGCAAUGGACGAAAGUCUGACGGAGCAACGCCGCGUGAGUGAAGACGGCCUUCGGGUUGUAAAGCUCUGUGAUUCGGGACGAAAGGCUAUAUGUGAAUAAUAUAUGGAAAUGACGGUACCGAAAAAGCAAGCCACGGCUAACUACGUGCCAGCAGCCGCGGUAAUACGUAGGUGGCAAGCGUUGUCCGGAAUUAUUGGGCGUAAAGCGCGCGCAGGCGGUCUCUUAAGUCCAUCUUAGAAGUGCGGGGCUUAACCCCGUGAGGGGAUGGAAACUGGGAGACUGGAGUAUCGGAGAGGAAAGUGGAAUUCCUAGUGUAGCGGUGAAAUGCGUAGAUAUUAGGAAGAACACCGGUGGCGAAGGCGACUUUCUGGACGAAAACUGACGCUGAGGCGCGAAAGCGUGGGGAGCAAACAGG
rnacentral:rRNA from 1 species